rnacentral:rRNA from 1 species
UACACUCCUACGGGAGGCAGCAGUGGGGAAUUUUGGACAAUGGGCGAAAGCCUGAUCCAGCCAUGCCGCGUGCAGGAUGAAGGCCUUCGGGUUGUAAACUGCUUUUGUACGGAACGAAACGGCCUUUUCUAAUAAAGAGGGCUAAUGACGGUACCGUAAGAAUAAGCACCGGCUAACUACGUGCCAGCAGCCGCGGUAAUACGUAGGGUGCAAGCGUUAAUCGGAAUUACUGGGCGUAAAGCGUGCGCAGGCGGUUAUGUAAGACAGUUGUGAAAUCCCCGGGCUCAACCUGGGAACUGCAUCUGUGACUGCAUAGCUAGAGUACGGUAGAGGGGGAUGGAAUUCCGCGUGUAGCAGUGAAAUGCGUAGAUAUGCGGAGGAACACCGAUGGCGAAGGCAAUCCCCUGGACCUGUACUGACGCUCAUGCACGAAAGCGUGGGGAGCAAACAGGAUUAGAAACCCUUGUAGUCCCAUGAU